GAAAAUUGAGAAAACCAUGAAAGAAAAAGAAGAACUGUUAAAGUUAAUUGCCGUUCUGGAAAAAGAAACAGCACAACUUCGAGAACAAGUUGGGAGAAUGGAAAGAGAACUUAACCAUGAGAAAGAAAGAUGUGACCAACUGCAAGCAGAACAAAAGGAACCAGAGAAUCAUCAAGGAAGGACUACAAUAUAAAGUAUCAUCCAACAGGACUGGAAAUUCAUAGCAUUUCCCUCAGAUUCUAAAAGUAUAAUGGAUACAUAAUGUAACCAAAAAAACCCUCUAAGUUAUAAGACAUAUGUGGUGACAAUUGUUUAUUUCUGGGGAUAAAACGUGUUUGCCAGGAGAGAGAGUUCCUCUUUGUUACUAGUCAAUGGACUUUUAGUUGUUUUUUUUUUAUGAAUUUGCUUCGUAUUCCAAAAUUAGUCUCCAUUUUAAUCAAGCAUGCCUGCUGGGCAGCUACAACUCCAGACUUUCAAACUGGUCUGGUUGGAUGGCUUAUAAAAUCUGUGACAUUUCUUGGCACUUGUUUUAAAUCUGUUCCAUGGUGUGAAUCCUAUAGUAGUUCUAGAGGUCUUCUAUUUGAGGUACUGAGUAUAUAAACUGUUGAAUAUCUGAAAGAUUGUUCUGAUGUAUCAUCUAUAAUUUCAUUUAAAGUUUUGUAAUGGAUUCUCCAUGUAAUAAGCAGAGACCUUCAUUUUCUUCAUAAUAGGAGAAAUUUAUUGCAUUUCCAUUAUUUUAUAAAAUAAUAUGACUAGCUUAUUACCUAUUC
rnacentral:sRNA from 1 species